UUCAUUUUCCAGCCAAUCAAAUGACUGAACAUAUUUUCGAACAGUGUUGAGGAAGGUUGAACAAGGAUAUCACCUUUUUUCCCCUAUCAGGUCCUUCUUCAAUUAUGGGGUUUACACCUUACAGGUCCCUGUGUCCCUCCCCCUCCCUGAUCCCCCUGUGUGUGAGUCCCUCAUCUCAGCUUUGGUUGCUGUGCAGAUGGCUCUUUGUUGGUGCUUCACAAUGGGUCUAAGGACCUGGAAGCCAGAGAAAGCCAGGCCGACCAUGCAGGAGGCUGUUGAAAACAAAAGAGCUCAGUUUGCCCCCCACCAAUGCUUCCAAUUAUCGGGACCCUUCCCCCGCCUAAUCCCGACCCCUUUGCUCUUUGAUGGGCCUCACUUACCCCUGAGCACUGACAUUCCGCAAGUCAGGUCAGUCCUUUGUCCUGAAGAAAUUAAGUGAAAUUAAGGUGCUGUACUUCCCAUCCUGUAUCCAGUUCAACAUUCAAAUAAAUGUCUCCCCAGGCUAUGGGAACUGAUGUAACACAUUUCAUUGACUGUCAAACGUAUUUCAUUGUUAAAAAACAAAAAGGCUUUUCUUUUAUACAAUAUUGCCUUCUGUUUCCCCCUAACCUUAAAUAACAUCAAAAAAAGGUGUCAUGUUCCUUGUGGAAAGUGUGGUAAACACUCCAGUUGUUGGCAAAUGAGAGGUUUGCAAAAAUCACAAUAAAUCGAAUCUCAUUUUCAGAUUUUCCUUCACUGCCCUACUUUCUACAACAGUUUGGUUCACGUCUUUACCUGCAGAGUGAAAUAGGCUGCUGUUCAAGAUUGGUGGCACAUGGAAACAUGUUGAGUUACAGAAAAAGAGUGAGUAAUGCCUUCUGCUGCUUUGAGUCUGCUCCUCUGUUCCUUACGUGGAUCUACUGAAGACCAUUACAUUGUGGAUGUCUGCUUCAAUGCUCUGUAGUCUCCACAUGUUCUUUAUUUCACAAAUAAAAAGGUAUUACACUUUA